UACGAAGGGGGCUAGCGUUGCUCGGAAUCACUGGGCGUAAAGGGUGCGUAGGCGGGCCCUUAAGUCAGGGGUGAAAUCCUGGAGCUCAACUCCAGAACUGCCUUUGAUACUGAGGAUCUUGAGUUCGGGAGAGGUGAGUGGAACUGCGAGUGUAGAGGUGAAAUUCGUAGAUAUUCGCAAGAACACCAGUGGCGAAGGCGGCUCACUGGCCCGAUACUGACGCUGAGGCACGAAAGCGUGGGGAGCAAACAGG
rnacentral:rRNA from 1 species